GGAUGUACGGAUGGGUGGGUGGGUGGAUGGAUGGAUGGAUGGAUGGAUGGAUGGGCAGAUGGAGGAAUGCAAUUAAAAGUGGAUGAAUUGGUUCUGGGUGCCCUCAGAACACUCUAUCUCCCCAACUUCUCAUAUUUACCACCCUAGGCUCCUGAUUACUGUAAUUAUAGAAAGCCCUUUUUCUU